rnacentral:lncRNA from 1 species
GUUUAAGUUGGGGGGAGGGAAGUAUUUAAAAAAAAAAAAUUGUUUUUGCAUUCUUUUCUAAGCAAAUGCAUAUGUAUUUUCAUAUUGAGUUUGUGCAACUAUUAAGGCAAGGAAUACAUGCAUACUAUGACUGAUCAGAGACCUACUAUUAGAUCCCCGCACAUGUAUUUAAUGAUUAUAAGAAGGCCUCAGGAGUUCACAUUUGUUUAAUGCAUUUUUAUUAAGCCAUAUCUGUAAAAGAAGUACAAGUAUCCUUGUCCGUACUAUAAGGUUCUUGAUUUAAUUUUCACAUAAAGAUAGAGGUUGAAUACCCCGGCUAGAUCAUCUAAGUGCCUUAUGUUCCGACCUUGGUUGACCUAUAGUCACGUUGCAGUCACAUUAUAUGGUUCAGUUUACCUUC